CACAGCCAACAGCAAAGGGUUUGUUUUCACUCAGGGAAAUAAGCAUCUUCAGAUGUGUUCCUGGGGUGAAAUUAGCAAAAGGAACAGGCAAGCCAAACAGUGCUUAACAGUGAUCUGUUUGGGGAAGUUAGGGAUAGGCAGUGUUCUCUUGGUGUUACUUUUCAUCUGUGGGCUAAUCCAGGGAGUGCACUAAUCUAUCUCAGCAGUAUUUAAAGCCUGGCUUGCAUAGUAUUUUGAGAGCAACGCAGCCAAUAAAUGUCAUGUAUUUACUUACCAUCUUCAGGAGGGAUUUCAUAUUCCUUAUCUUCCAGCACUUCAUAGUCAAAUUCUAGUAGGUCUAUUGGAAUAGUGUAUUUUCUGGCAUAGUUCUGCUUGGCACCUGUUAAGAAUGCUUGAGUGAAGAAGAAUCCUGAAAUCCAGAAGACGGGUGGCAUACCAUUUUCGUACCACAGCUGCAGUAGCAAAAGAGGUGGAAAAAAAGGAGAGGGGAGUGGCUUUUAUGUUUUAUAGUAUUUAGGAACUCGAAUAACUUGUGAAAUAACAGCCAAAAUAGUUUCUGCAGUGGUAUGUUUGGAUGGUUGUUACGUGUUUUCCGCCAAGUUGUUUAAAUGUCACUAGCUUAUGGCUUUUUUUGUCGUCGUUGUAUUUUAACACCGAAGAGGACAAAACACCACCUCACCUACUGCCUGGAAGUUCUUAGCUAAUGUGAAUGAAUUAGUUUGUUAAUCAUGCAUCAUCUAUGGAGGCUCAUCAAAUGUGUGUUCAAGGCACCCUUUCUCUCUUGUUAUCAGAGGCUGUUCAGCAUGAUGAUCUUGGUUUCCUCAUGCAGGUGGCAGGUUUUGGUAUUCUUUUCCAUGCUUUGCUUUUCUUCGUCGGCUUGCCCUUCCAGGGCCAAUGUUGCCUGUUGUGCAUGUGUGUGUACAUGCAAGUGCAUGUGCAGCAAGCUGAAGGUGAGGGUGGGUGAGUUCCUUAUGAGGAAGAAAAUGGACUGGCCUAAUUAAACUUUGGUUUUGGGGGAUAGAAGGGUGUCCUUCCCCCCACCCCCAGCUUACACUGUGGAAACUUGUGUAUAAAAAAUUCUGAAUGCUGGAUUUCAUUGCAUUUACGUGUAAUAUAAGUGCGGUCUAUAGCAAUGGUGACUACUUCAUGCAAGACAUUUUUCUGGUUGUUGUACACAUAACUUUAGAACAAUUGUUGUAAACAUGAGUUUUGAACAAUGUCAGAAAAAAAACACUGCAUUACGAUUACAUUACUGCAGAGAAUUAUAAUGGUUACCAAAGUACUUGUCUUUCUAGUUAGUUUCCAUCCAAAGAAAUAAACAAAAUCCUUAUAAUGGCAGUUUCUCCUUCAUACAAGUUUAAUUUCUGUCCUGGAUUCUGUUCAAGAGAUGUCACUUUUAUUCUUUAUAAGUACUGCAGUCAGACGUGCUACGCAUUAAAGUGGAGGUUACUGAGGUGUGGUGACAGGGUCCAAAAAA